CGUGGCAGCUGCAAUGCACUCUCUCCUCCCCUCUCUUCCUGCAGACGAUGCGCCAGCUCAACGGAACGAGUGUUUCGGCUCAUCGCUUCACCAGUCACCACCCCGACAGAGACCGCCACCGUUGUCAAGCAUGUUGGGUGCACCGAGUCCGGCAGCAGGCGAAUUCAGACGCCGUCUUGCACAGCUUCGGGGGUGAAGGGCGGACUAGGCAGCAGAGGCACUAACGGGCCGAGGAUCCUGGCAGCCCUCUCCGCGCCGAGGGGCAGCACCAUCCGCGAGAACCCUCAAAGAGCUCUGAAGGCAGGGCUGCCCGUCGAGUGGCUGAUAGAGGGACAAGACAAUGAGAUGCUCACAGGGGUGGAAGCUUGCCACGCGGGAAGACGACACGCCACGGGGCUGCCUUUUCCUCUGCCAGAGUGCACGCCAAUGCAGCUGUGUUGCGCGUGCAGUCGACUGACCACGCUCACGGACGACCUGACCGGAGGAGGGCUGUACCGUCAAGUCAGCACUGCGGAGAGAAGCGACUGCUGCAUACCCCUGCACACGCGACAUCGCUGGCCAGCCGGUAUCCCCGCAUGGGGGUCGACUCGCAGCAAGGCACGGCAGCGUACUUUUGGCUUCGCCUCCGUCCGUCAUCGUGGGGGCCGGACGUACGCAAGGCCUUCUCGAGGAUGGCGGCACAGCGGCUUCUGACCUUCGUCAGGUGCAUGGCGCAACAACGCCUCGGCGCUGACUGCGAGGGCUUCUCAUGUUGAUCUAUGUGUUCGCAGACGCAUCAGAUGAAGCGGUACGACGGCCCCCAAGACCGCACCCAUGCCGCUUGCGCCCCGGUCUUCCACAGGGACACAGCGAAAGGCGGUCUGGGGAGGCGAGGCUUCCGUGCACGGCUACGUGGACUCUUCCGUAACUGCAAAACCGAACAGACGCCUCCACAAAGGGCAGGGGCCCAUCUCCCCCCUUUCCUUAUCACGGGCGGCCGGCUUGACACCGAGGAGAACGUCCCGCUGGAGGGAUCCGAGGCAACUCAUCGCUGAGCGUCGCGAGGAGGACCUGAAAAGCGUCGAUCAAUCGUGUCCCGCUACGCAACGAUGCAUAGCGCGCUGAUACCUCCUGCCGCUGUAUGCUGAUCGGGGGCAACCCAUGAACACCGAGGAAUCGCCGGAAUGGUCAGCAGCGCACGGCAGGAUGGCACCAGUUGAUGGGCAGCGAGAUUCCAUACCGGGCGCCACACGUGCCCGGUGGGUCUGACCUACAGAGGAGGUUCAGGGCCAAUCACCUCGUCAGGCCCUCUUAGCCGCAUCCAACGAAGAGCUGCUGCAGAUGGCGCGCGGCCCCACAACUUUCGUGGGCGAGAAAUGUGAGUGGCACGACAACCCCAGACGUCUGCAAAAUUCAGUGAAAUCGGUUGCGAUGUUGAAGCCCGCGCUUCACAGGCGGCAACACACAUAAGCAGACAUUUAGACAGCUUGGUUGCCGUGAUCAUGUGCAUAUGAUGCGCACGACGAGAAGGGGCACAGCCGACACCCUGUCUCCGGAAACUUCCGUCUGUAGGCGUGAAAAGAGCGAACCUUCGUUAUCAGACUCAGGGGGUUCUUCACUACCACGCAGCUGUGCCUGGCCUCGGCACUCGGGCUAGAACGCACGGAUGUGCUGAACAUGGAGAGGGGUGGGCUCGUGGCCGCAUUGCCACAGCAGAAAUAAGUGUGCCGAACGAGACGUGGAUAAGCGGAAUGCGUGAGAGUACGCCGGGGAGGGCGCGGACGAGCCGUUGGGCGUUGCACAGCCAGCCGAGAACGCAUGUGCUUCCUCUCUCUCCACCCGCUCCUCCAUGCCUAGCCGAGGAGCGACACCAACAACAAAAUACAACACGAAACCAAAAGGGCAAAGAGAAAUGCACCAGCAAACGCGAAGCCCCAACAUGCACGCCUGCACACACGGCCCACAUGUCUCACUCACUCCCUCUUUUUCCAGACCCUCCUGCUUCCUCGUCUCACUGAGGCCGUUUGUCAGCCUUUCGCCGGCCUUUGCCUCCUUCAUUUCAAAGGCGGCCUCUCUACUUACGCCUUUUUAGGCGGCUCUCAUGAAUGACUCUGUGGGCGUGUUCGUAUGUGUGCGAAAGAGGGAAGGCAACGAGGAAAGAUGCGGCUAAGAAUGGAGGGGGAAUGGGGCGGCGGACCGUGAGGACAGCUGUGCGUGUUCUAACGCACGCAUGCCACAUACAUCUCUCGCCUCCCUGCACGCACAGGGACACAGACACUUUACGCUUGCUGACGCAUGUGAACAAUCGAACUUGAAAAUGAGACAGCUUCGUCGUGUACAUCCGAUGCAGAUGUCACCUGUGCUUCUGAAACAGAUGCGGCAUUGUGGUGGAGGCACCAACAACAUCGCCCAACAAGAUCAGUGCACACAUGCAUGCAUGCACGCACAUCAUCUCUCUCAUUCGGUGUGCACGUUUGUGCGCAUGUGUGCUGGACCCUUCUCUUUUUACUUCCAAAGAAAGUGGUGUGUCUGUGUGUGUGUGUGUGUGUAGUGGCCCGAGUUGUUGCGGAGACGCAGCAGCGAGACAAGCAGUCCACCUACCUGGAUGCUCGUUAUUGUGUGCGAUGGAGUACUUCUCUCCACAAAGAAAGGCAGAUAUAUAUAUAUAUAUGCUUG
rnacentral:misc_RNA from 1 species